GAGUAUGGGAACAGCAUUUUUCCUUUUAAUCUGUGCUGCUCGUUUCCGAGGAACAGGAAAUUUGCAAGGUUGCUGUGUGUUGAUUGCCGAGAGUUGCUUGAUUUAUGGGCUUGAGAACCUCGAUGUAUCGAGGUCAGCGUGUGGUGUAAAACGUGGUGCCAAUUUAAGAAAUGUGGAUGGAGGUUACUGCCCGAAGUGUUCUUAAAAUUCAAGUCCCCCGUAUGUCUUUUUUCUUCUUCUCAUUCCUCCUUAAUCUAGAAUUUCCAGUACAACUCAAUUUUAGUUUUUUUAAUUUUCUGUUCAGAAUUUUUUGCUAUUAGUCUUCUUCUAACAACAACGCUGGUGCUGUGGUUGUUUUUGUAGUUCAUAUGCAUCAUGCCAGGACUUGUGCUGGAAAGAGCAUACCUACCUUACCUGAUCUUGAACAUAGUAGAUGUAUGACAGCAAAAGAUAACCAUGGUUCUCUGCAGAUGAUCUUUCUGUACUUAAGAAGUCCUGCAGGAUUCAAAUUUCCCUAAAGAUAUUAAUAUUUUGGGUUGAGUACAAGUUACUUGACAAGGUGACAAAAAAUAAAUAAAAAAUUGCUGCAAGUAUAUGUCCUGUGUACAAGUGUGGGGAUUACCAUUCCAAAAUGGUUUCCUAAAUAGUUAACUAGAUAGGAAUAUUUCAACCAACACACUGUUAAGGAAGAAAGUCCAUGGCCUUUUAUCAUCCAUCUUCCUGCCUUUACAAUUAAUUUCUUAACUGUUACAUAUGAUCCCUAAACAUAUCCUCCCACUCUCUCUACAAAUAAAUACCUAUCUAUUUCCCCUAGUUAUAUGCUUAAAGGAGCUUUGCAUGAGGAUUUGGGAGGGCUUGUCCUGAGGCUCACAGUAAUCCAGUAUGGGUUGUGGUCAUGGCUGCCAAAAUCUCUAGAUAACUCCCCAAUUGCUUGAAAAGAUUUUCACUGAUGCAAAACAAUGUGUGAGAUGAGAGUGGACCAUGUACUCAGGUAAGUUAGGGUUAGGAUUACCUGCAUGGCCAUGGUGUGACCCUGCUUGCAGAAUCUCCAUAGGAGAUUGCUUUUGUCAGUCCCAGGUGCAGCUAGAGAAGACAAGCACUCUUUUGUACAUUUGCUUGUCUUGCUUUCAUUUUUGUAAUGUAUCUGUCAUCUGGGUGCACCACAGUCCAUGAUAGAUGACAUUCAGUGUCCAGGAUUAUGGAUCUUUAGAGGUGGACAUUACUCAACACAGGAUGCUG
rnacentral:lncRNA from 1 species